rnacentral:rRNA from 1 species
UACGUAGGGUGCGAGCGUUAAUCGGAAUUACUGGGCGUAAAGCGUGCGCAGGCGGCUUACUAAGACAGGUGUGAAAGCCCCGAGCUUAACUUGGGAAUGGCGCUUGUGACUGGUAGGCUGGAGUGUGGCAGAGGGAGGUGGAAUUCCACGUGUAGCAGUGAAAUGCGUAGAGAUGUGGAGGAACACCGAUGGCGAAGGCAAUCCCCUGGGCCUGCACUGACGCUCAUGCACGAAAGCGUGGGGAGCAAACAGG